CCUACGAGAGGCUGCAGUGAGGAAUAUUGGUCAAUGGACGAGAGUCUGAACCAGCCAAGUAGCGUGAAGGAUGACUUCCCUAUGGGUUGUAAACUUCCUUUAUAUGGGAAUAAAAUGUUCCACGUGUGGGAUUUUGUAUGUACCAUAUGAAUAAGGAUCGGCUAACUCCGUGCCAGCAGCCGCGGUAAUACGGAGGAGCCGAGCAUUUUCCGGAUUUAUUGGGGUUAAAGGUGUCGUAGGUGGAUUGUUAAGUCAGUUGUGAAAGUUUGCGGCGCAACCGUAAAAUUGCAGUUGAAACUGGCAGUCGUGAGUACAGUAGAGGUGGGCGGAAUUCGUGGUGUAGCGGUGAAAUGCUUAGAUAUCACGAAGAACUCCGAUUGCGAAGGCAGCUCACUGGACUGCAACUGACACUGAGGCUCGAAAGUGUGGGUAUCAAACAGGAUUAGAUACCCGUGUAGUC
rnacentral:rRNA from 1 species